AACACUGCCUACAGCAUUGUAGGUGUCUCCUCAAAGAGGAUUAUCAUUGUUUCGUUUUGUUAAUUAAACAAUAACUAUAGAAUUGUGAUAAAAAUGGUUUGGAUGGAAUGUGCCAUUUGAGAGUAAGGCAACUUAUGUAUAGUUUCGUAUUCCCAAAACUUUUGACGGAGACAAGGCCUGUGUCAUCAAUUCUAUUCCGAAAUCUACGGUUUAGAUGAACAAAUGGGCUUUGCAGAUUUUUCGGGAACAGAAAGUAAGAAGCGUAUUACUAAGUCUGAUGUUAAAAUUUCACAUGAUGUAAACAAAGGGGAAGAUGCUGAUAAAGUCAGUUCAGUAUUUCAGGGAGUAACUUUCGAUAACUGCAAUGUUAAACUCGUCAUAAAUUCUACAAACUGCGAUAACAUGUGAAAUAGCGCACUAUUCUGUUACAUUCUUUGAAGGAAAUAAAAUUUUGUCGCUGGCUUGA